rnacentral:rRNA from 1 species
UGAGCAAUCUGCCCUUCACAUCGGAAUAACCAUUGGAAACGAUGGCUAAUACCGAAUAUGACUUCGGAUUGCAUGAUCUGAAGUGGAAAGCUCCGGCGGUGAAGGAUGAGCUCGCGGCCUAUCAGCUUGUUGGUGAGGUAAUAGCUCACCAAGGCGAUGACGGGUAGCCGGCCUGAGAGGGUGACCGGCCACACGUGGGACUGAGACACCGGCACGUACCG